AUGCCCACGCUGUCUGACGAGGAUAAAGAUGUUAUGAAAAAAUGGGAUGCUCCAAACAAGAUUGACUUCCUAUCUUUCUUAUACAAGGCAUGCAGAAGAUGUGUGGCAAUGUUCUUAUUUCAGAAGUUUGCUCUGCACAAGUGCAACAUGGCUGGAAAACCUGCUGCUGUUACUUGUGUUGUGGACAGUAUGACGGACAACCUAAGGCCUACUCGUGCAGAUGCAACUGAUGUGGCAAAUGCGGUGCUGGAUGUGAUGCCAUUCUCCUUGGUGCCGAGACUCUCCGUGGGUUGUAUCCAGUUGAGACUAUUUCAACGGCUGAGAAUGUCUUCAACCAGGAUUUGUACUUCAAGCGAACCAUGA
rnacentral:rRNA from 1 species